UUGGAACCUCCGAACGAUGAACUGCUACUUCGUGUCGUCGGCUAAUCACAGCCUGUACCCAACAGGCACGGUCCAACCCACCGUGGUGCGGAUGCCCGGGUGGCACGAGCUGCGUUCGUGCAUCUCCAGCAGGGACAAAUCGGACGUCGAGCGGCGAGCCAACGCCACCACGUAGUAGCUCACGCCAUCUGGCCGACAGAUCCAUCGGGACGGGAUGAUGACUCAUGUGGGUUAAACUUUUGAAAAUCAAGUUUUUCUGCACAACGGCUUGUGGUGACAACAAAUGACCCCCCCCCCCCUCCACAUUAACCCACCAGGAUUGUAUCUUUGACUAUCAUACAACAUGAUGAUGUGAGAGAUCUAUCAGCUGCAUUCCUACCCACUCCAUUGAGGGACUCCCCGGCUGCCACCUCCAGGCCGUGACACAGGCCCGCAGCGUAGAUGUCAUCCGCAAACAUGGAGGCCGCGUCAGCGCUCCCAUUCUGAGAAAAAUUAAAAAAUAAUACAAUUUUUGUUUGCCCA